UACAGAGGGUGCAAGCGUUAAUCGGAAUUACUGGGCGUAAAGCGCGCGUAGGUGGUUCGUUAAGUUGGAUGUGAAAUCCCCGGGCUCAACCUGGGAACUGCAUUCAAAACUGUCGAGCUAGAGUAUGGUAGAGGGUGGUGGAAUUUCCUGGUGUAGCGGGUGAAAUGCGUAGAUAUAGGAAGGAACACCAGUGGCGAAGGCGACCACCUGGACUGAUACUGACACUGAGGUGGCGAAAGCGUGGGGAGCAAACAGG
rnacentral:rRNA from 1 species